ensembl:lncRNA
UCAUACAUUUUGCAAAUGUAACACUUUUUCUUCCACUUUGACAGAGUAUUUUGUGUAGAUUGUUGACAAAAAAAACUGACAAUUAAAUCCAUUUUAAUCCCACUUUGUAACGCAACUAAAUGUGGGAAAAGUCAAGGGGUUUCAUACUCUCUGAAGGCACUGUAAAAAGCUAACCAAAGUCCUUUGUAGAAUUUGUAUGAAGCCAUAUCAUAUCUCUAUUAAAACAUUCAGUUCUAACAGCAGCAUUAGGUAAAGCCACUGGAGCAUGUUCAAUUUUUUGGCCCAUGCAGUCUGGCGUGCUACUGUUAGAACACUUACUAUAUGUGGCGGUCAGUCAAGUGGCCAUUUUGUCCUGUUUAGGUCAAAAAAGAUAAUGGCAAAUGGCCAACAGCGAGGGCACAAGAAGCAUAGCAUAGUAGUCUCUAUUACGCAACGAAUGACUCGUCUUUAUGAUUCUUGUUUGAGGUACUGUAUUUGAAGGCAUUAAAAGCCCCUUGGAAGCAACCAGUUUUAUUCAGAUAAAAUAAAAGCACACACUUGGAGGACGAAGGGGGAAUUCAAUGUUCCAAAGCGUUAUUGUCCAUUUCAGGGUAAACAUUUCUAUUCCAUUUUGACAUGGUUUCCACAGUAGACACAUAAUACAAUUGAUGAUUAAAAGCUGAUGCAGGAGGGAAGUGGGUCUGUUUGUAAGAGAGUAGAGGAGAAGUAACGGGUUUAAACAAGGCUGUGUGGUGGUAGCUGGAGACCUCGUUUGGAGACUGUUGGAACAAACAGACAAGAUGGGACAUGAUCUAAUGUGCUAUGGUGUUAGAACAGCAGGGCUGAGGACAUUUUAUCUCUUCACUCACGCACCAGCAGACACUCACUUACCAUUCUGGAUUGCUGGGGAUGCAUCUCAGUAGUCUAAAGUGGUUUCCUUUCCUUGUCUUCUUUUCCUCAGUUACACUUUAAGGCCACUUAAAGGAAAACUCCACCAAAAAACUAUCUUUUGGUAUUUGUUUGGUAUUAGUCCAUUGUUGAUAUAGUCCCAAAAUGCUUUGCAUGACAGAAAUCAAGUAUUCAAGACACAGUUUAUAACUUUCAAAAUACAGAAAUACAGCAGGCAUUCCUCCCAUCAUCUCCUGUCCUCACCACCAGGCACUCACUCACUCUCUGUAUGCAUCUCAAUCCACAAAUUGUUUCUUCUCCUUGUCCCUUGUCCACACUCAUAACCACUAGGCACUCUCUCUCUCUCUCUCUCUCUCUCUCUCUCUCUCUCUCUCUUUCUCUCUUUUUCUCUCUCUCUGGUCUGACUGCAUCUCAAUCUCGUUCUAGUAAAUUGACCCUUCCCUUCUGCUCUCGUUCACUCCCCUUUGCAGAUCUCAAAUGAGACCGGGUAAGUGUUAAAGACAGACUUGUCAGUGCUGAUGGAGGAAAAGAGAUGUGCCGUGAAAUAACACUGUCUACCUGUGAAUCAUAGACUGCCUGCUGAAAUUGGCAAAAGCUUUUCAUCACGAUUUUACACUCCUCCCUCACAAUCCACCAGUGUAGUGAUAUUGUGUUAUUACAGAUUUCCGCACUCUGUACUAUCCACUGAGAAUCAAUCCCCACAUCUUUACUCACUGUCCUAUUUUGCUGAGUGUGUCUUGCUUCAUGAAGGCUUCCUUACAAACAAGAGAAAUGAGAGAGGGGGUGAAGAGAUGAGAUAGAGAGGGUGAGGGGUUAGAGGAGUGAAAGAUGGAGAGAGUAUUACAGUAAGAGAGUGAAAGUAAGGGAAUGAGAAUUAGGACAGGGAGUGAAGACUUGAGGGAGUGAGCAUGAGGUAUUAAAGGAAAGAAUAAAGAGAUGGUGAGAUAGAAAGGGUGAGAGUCUGAGGGAUUGAAAGAUUGAUGAGAGGAACGCGGAAGAGUGUGAAAGGAUGAGUGAACUUUUUGAUUUUGAAAUAGGUGUGUUUUACAUGCACCAAAUACCUGUAUGCUGUACUAAUUAUAAUUGUACCUACAUUUUAUGCUCUCGCUCCAUUUCCUGUUAAUCUCUCUAUUAAUCUACACUGUGUAACCGCUGACAACCUAGAAACUUAACCCAUUUUCUAUUUGUUGUCCUUACAGGAAGGGCCUUAUAUGGAACUUGUCUGACUUCGGAGUAAUUCUAAGUGGGAGGAGAGGUUUUGUUUAGGCACUUUUACAUGUCUGAAUUAAACCCAUAUUAUGAUCGUCAGAAUUGAAUUAAAUUAAAUUCUUAGAGGUACUGAUUUUUUGCUUCCAUGUGAUUUUAGGUGACACAUGUUUGCAAUGGAAGUAAUAACUCAGAGGAAGAUUGUGUGAGUUGAGUUCAAUGGGUAGAAAUCAACCUCUACCUCCUUCCGCAACAACCCAAUUUAAUUAUGCCAGCUAAUUUAUUUGUGCCAUGCAGUGGUAUAAAUGUUGAAAGUUGAGGCUGUCCAAACGAAGCUCCAAGGUGCAAUUUAAGAGACUCCUAGUCCCAGGCCUCCGCUUUUCCAGCAUCCUCUGCUUCCUUGUCACCUAAUGAGCUCAACCAAUCAGCGGUCUGGGUUCAGAUGCCUUUGAAGGCAUGACAACAGAGCUUGAGGUCACUGAGGCGGAAAAGUAGAAAGAAAUGGAGAACAGAUCAACUAUAAGCUCACACACACACACGCACAAGAAGUGUAUUGGUGUGUGGAGAAGGACAGAACAAUGAUUCUUCAAUCAAUCAAAUUUCAUGUGUAUAUUUAUUUUUGCAAAUAAUCUGAGCCUAUAGAUUCCCAACAAGCAAGCAGAGGCGACAGUGGCAAGGAAAAACCUGCAGAGGCACCAGGCUCGAGAGGCAGUCCAUCUUCUUCUGGCUUGCCAAGGCAAGGGGUUCUUACAAGCACAUUGGCCAAGUUUCCAACAGAUCACCAUCUUGGGCAUUAUGGGUAAUGUAGUCCUGAUCCUGUCUUUAAUAAAGAACCAGAUCUCCCAUCUGAAAACCUUUGAGGUGUUUCUCCUGAGCCUCGCUGCCUCCAACCUGUAAGAGCUCCUUGUCGUAAACAUCUACAACGUCAUCAUGUUCUGUGUCUGUCCUCACACCCUUGUCCUGCCGGACGCUCAAGUUCCUCAUGGUGAGAGUAAAGUAGAGUGCAGUAUAUGUAGCAGUGGAUGGCUAAAGUGCUACUGCCUUCCCAAAACCUACAAGUACUGUCACCCUGGAUCUCGAAAUUGCUUUUCUGACUCAGUGGUAGGCUUUUGACAGUGCUUUUUGUUGUGUUACAGUGUGGAGGGUUAUAUGAGUUUGUGGUCAGGUGGAAUUUACGUACAAAUGUACUUAUAAAUCAUUCCUGUCAGAAACAAGUUGACAGCAGCUGAGAUAAUUGUAUAAUGUGAUAAUGUAUUGAUCUAUUUGUUUGGAAUGUAGGUGUUCGUGAAAUCGGCAGCAUCCUCUUCACAUUCCUCAUCAGCAUCUUCUGGUACCAGACAACAUCUGGUUGGCCUGGGCUGUGAGUGGGCUGUGUGUGAUGCUAGCCAUGUUCCUGGGAGCUCCUACCUAUCUCAUGAACGUAGAUGGUCAUAUGGAUAACUAUACGCAAGACGGAGGCUGCCCUCCAGACUUCAUCCAGUGGCCCAAGGAGAACUGCCCGACCAUUAACGGUGUCUUCAGGUGCUGCUGGUUCAGAGGAGGGUGGUGGUGCCAGCGCUGAGUGCAGCAGGGGCGCCAGUGGAGCAGCCUCCCAGGAAGAAGGUCUCUACCUGGGGAUCGAAAGGAACACAGUGGGCAUCCUGGCUGCCAUGGGGGUGUUCCAGGUGGAAUGGAUCCUUCAGUCCCUACGACUUCCCCUUUUGGACCGAGGUGGAGUUCUUCAUCACAACGUCCUAUAUCACAAUCAGCCCUUAUGUGUAUGGGAUAGGGAGUAACCUGUUUUCUGUGAAACACUUUAAGAAGUAAUGGAAGAAAGACUUUUUAGGCCUUAGGUGUCAGGUGUAAGCAAUUUUCUGUGCAGUAUGAUUAUGGGAUAAGGGAAUAACCUCUUCUCUGAAACAUGUAACAAAGUAAUUGUGGUAUAUUUAUAAACCCUCUGUGUUAGAUGUAGGUGAUUCUCUAUUUUCUCUGAAGUAAUUUUAAGAAGUCAAAGCACGGUUUUUAGACGUAAACUACCGGUCAAACGUUUUAGAAAUCCUACUCAUUCCAGGGUUUUUCUUUAUCUUUUACUAUUUUCUACAUUGUGGAAUAAUAGUGAAGACAUCAAAACUAUUAAAUAAAACAUAUGGAAUAAUGUAGUAACCAAAAGUGUUAAACGAAUCAAAAUAUAUUUUAUAUUUGAGAUUCUUCAAAUAGCCACCCUUUGCCUUGAUGAAAGCUUUGCAAACUCCUGGCAUUCUCAACCAGCUUCAUGAGGUAGUUACAUAGAAUGUAUUUCAAUUAACAGGUGUGCCUUAAAAGUGAAUUUGUGAAAUGUAUUUCCUUCUUAAUGCAUUUGAGCCAAUCAGUUGUGUUGUGACAAGGUAGGGGUGGUAUACAGAAGAUAGUCCUAUUUGGUAAAAGACCGAGUCCAUAUUAUGGCAAGAACAGCUCAAAUAAGCAGAGAAACGACAGUCCAUCAUUAAUUUAAGACAUGAAGGUCAGUCAAUACGGAAAAUGUCUAGAACUUUGAACGUUUCUUAAAGUGCAUUUGCAAAAAUCAUCAAGCGCUUUGAUGAAACUGGCUCUCACGAGGACUGCCACAGGAAAGGAAGACCCAGAGUUACCUCUGCUGCAGAGGAUAAGUUCAUUAGAGUUACCAGCCUCAGAAAUGGCAGCCCAAAUAAAUGGUUUGCAGAGUUCAAGUAACAGACACAUCUCAACAUCAACUGUUCAGAGGAGACUGCGUGAAUCCUGUCUUCAUGGUUGAAUUACUGCAAAGAAACCACUACUAAAGAACACCAAUAAGAAGAAAAGACUUGCUUGGGUCAAGAAACACGAGCAAUGGACAUUAGACCAGUGGAAAUCUGUCUUUUGGUCUGAUGAAUCCAAAUUCGAGAUUUUUGGUUCAAACCGCUGUGUCUUUUGAGACGCAGAGUGAACGGAUGAUCUCCGCAUGUGUGAAGCAUGGAGGAGGAGGUGUGAUGGUGUGGAGGGGCUUUGCUGGUGACACUGCCUGUGAUUUAUUCAAGGCACACUUAACCAGCAUGGCUACCACAGCAUUCUGCAGUGAUACGUCAUCCCAUCUGGUUUGCGCUUAGUGGGACUAUCAUUUUUUCCCCAAAAGAACAAUGACCCAAAACAAACAUCCGGGGUGUGUAAGGGCUAUUUGACCAAGAAGGAGAGUGAUGGAGUGCUGCAUCAGAUGACCUGGCCUCCACAAUCAUCUGACCUCAACCCAAUUGAGAUGGUUUGGGAUGAGUUGGACCACAGAGUAAAGGAAAAGCAGCCAACAAGUACUCCGCAUAUGUGAGAACUCCUUCAAGACUGCUGGAAAAGCAUUCCUCAUGAAGUUGGUUGAGAGAAUUUCAAGAGUGUGCAAAGCUGUCAUCAAGGCAAAGGGUGGCUACUUUGAAGAAUCUAAAAUAUAUUUUUAAUUGUUUAACACAUUUUUUUUUGUUACUACAUGAUUCCGUAUGUGUUAUUUCUUAGUUUUGAUGUCUUCACUAUUAUUCUACAAUGUAGAAAAUAGUGAAAAUAAAUGUAAAAAACCUUGAAUGAGUAGGUGUGUCCAAACUUUUGACUGGUACUGUGUGUGUGUGUGUGUGUGUGUGUGUGUGUGUGUGUGUGUGUGUGUGUGUGUGUACAGUUGAAGUCUUAAGUUUACAUACACCUCAGCCAAAUACAUUUAAAUUGUGUUUUUUGCAAUUCCUGACAUUUAAUCCUAGUAAAAAUUCCCUGUCUUAGGUCAGUUAGGAUCACCACUUUAUUUUAAGAAUGUGAAAUGUCAGAAUAAUAGUAGAGAGAAUGAUUUAUUUCAGCUUUUAUUUCAUUCAUCACAUACCUAGUGGGUUAGAAGUUUACAUACACUCAAUUAGUAUUUGGUAGCAUUGCCUUUAAAUUGUUUAACUUGGGUCAAACGUUUCAGGUAGCCUUCCACAAGAUUCCCACCAUAAAUUUGAUUAAUUUUGGCCCAUUUCUCCUGACAGAGCUGGUGUAACUGAGUCAGGUUUGUAGCCCUCCUUGCUCGCACACGCUUUUUCAGUUCUACCCACAAAUGUUCUAUAGGGUUGAGGUCAGGGCUUUGUGAUGACCACUCCAAUACCUUGACUUUGUAUACCCAUUUUGCCACAACUUUGGAAAUAUGCUUGGGGUCAUUGUCCAUUUGAAGAUCCAAGCAUUAACUUCCUGACUGAUGUCUAGAUAUGUUGCUUGAAUAUAUCCGCAUCAUUUUCCUUCCUCAUGCAGCUAUCUAUUUUGUGAAGUGCUCCAGCCCCUCCUGCAGCAAAGCACGCCCACAACAUGAUGCUGCCACCCCUGUGCUUAAUGGUUGGGAUGGUGUUCUUCGGCUUGCAAGCCUCCCCCUUUUUCCUCCAAAUAUAACGAUGGUCAUUGUGGCCAAACAGUUCUAUUUUUGUUUCAUCAGACCAGAGGACAUUUCUCCAAAAAGUACAAUCUUUGUCCCCAUGUGCAGUUGCAAACCGUAGUCUGGCUUUUUUUAUGGAGGUUUUGGAGCAGUGGCUUCUUCCUUGUUGAGCGGCCUUUCAGGUUAUGUCGAUAUAGGACUCGUUGUACUGUGGAUAUAGAUACUUUUGUACCUGUUUCCUCCAGCAUCUUCACAAGGUCCUUUGCUGUUGUUCUGGGAUUGAUUUGCACCUUUCGCACCAAAGUACGUUAAUCUCUAGGAGACAGAACGCGUCUCCUUCCUGUGUGGUAUAACGGCUGCGUGGCCCCAUGGUAUUUAUACUUGCAUACUAUUGUUUGUACAGAUGAACGUGGUACCUUCAGGCGUUUGGAAAUUUCUCCCAAGGAUGAACCAGACUUGUGGAGGUCCACAAUUUAGCUGAUUUGUUUUUAUUUUCCCAUGAUGUCAAGCAAAGAGGCACUGAGUUUGAAGGUAGGCCUUGAAAUACAUCCACAAGUACACCUCCAAUUGACUCAAAUGAUGUCAAUUAGCCUAUCAGAAGCUUCUAAAGCCAUGACAUAAUUUUCAGGUAUUUUCCAAGCUGUUUAUAAGCACAGUCAACUUCGUGUAUGUAAACUUCUGACUCACUGGAAUUGUGAUACAGUGAAUUAUAAGUGAAAUAAUCUGUCUGUAAACAAUUGUUGGAAAAGUGACUUGUGUCAUGUACAAAGUAGAUGUCCUAACCGACUUGCCAAAACUAUAGUUUCUUAACAAGAAAUUUGUGGAGUGGUUGAAAAACGAGUUUUAAUCACUCCAACCUAAGUGUAUGUAAACUUCCGACUUCAACUGUAUAUAUAACAUUGAACUCUGUCUAUGAUUGAAUGUAUGACACAGAGUGCCCAUGACACAGAGUGCCCAUGACACUUGACAACAAUGAAAAUAAGUCUUGACUUUUUGUUUAUGUAACCUCAACAGGUUUGGUAUAUGUAUCUGUUGCCUGGUGCAACAUUUUGUGUAUUUUAAAUUGUCAAAUAAAAUCAUACUGGGAACUAUC